UCAGCCUGUGGUACUCAAACUAUGGGGGCAAUUUUUGAGCUGGAAUGAAGUGCUGCCAAGUUUUGAGCGCUGCUGUUUGA
ensembl:miRNA